GGAACAAAUAAAAAUAGUUUUAAAAUGACUCUUUAAAGACUUUCCCCAACUCUUAUACUAUCUUAAAUGAACACUUUAUUCCUUCUAAACAUAUUAUUGUUUCUCCUGCUUAUUAAAAAGAAAGGAAUAUUUAAGCCAAAACUACACACACACACACACACACACACACACCCAAACUAAAUUCAUCCCUAACUUCCAAAAUGUGUUUUUGAAUGAGUCAGUUUUAACUUAAAUAAUGUCAAUCAUAGUGACAUUAAAAUUUGUCCACUGGCUUAAAUUUUUUAAAUAUAGAAUGCAAGGAAAACUUGAGAAAUAACAUUCUGGUAGAUUUUUUUUUAAUCAUUGAAUUAUUAAAAACCAAAAUACCAAUAGAGGCCAAAUAAACUUUGAAGAUGAUUUCACCCAACCUCAUAUUAUAAGAUGAGAUCUUGGAGGUGAAGUCCAAGAUCACAAGGACAGAAGUUUGAAUCCAGGACUCCCAGCACGAUGCUGCUGCUUUCCUACUAUUCUGCUUCCAGCUUACAACCUGAAAACCUAGAAAUUUAAGGAUUCUGUUUAUCUACCACUCAAAGAUGUGAAGGUGCCUUGUUGCUUACUUCUAAAUCUGCUGCAGCAGUG
rnacentral:lncRNA from 1 species